rnacentral:rRNA from 1 species
UAGGGAAUCUUCGGCAAUGGGGGCAACCCUGACCGAGCAACGCCGCGUGAGUGAAGAAGGUUUUCGGAUCGUAAAGCUCUGUUGUAAGAGAAGAACGUGUGUGAGAGUGGAAAGUUCACACAGUGACGGUAACUUACCAGAAAGGGACGGCUAACUACGUGCCAGCAGCCGCGGUAAUACGUAGGUCCCGAGCGUUGUCCGGAUUUAUUGGGCGUAAAGCGAGCGCAGGCGGUUUAAUAAGUCUGAAGUUAAAGGCAGUGGCUUAACCAUUGUUCGCUUUGGAAACUGUUAAACUUGAGUGCGGAAGGGGAGAGUGGAAUUCCAUGUGUAGCGGUGAAAUGCGUAGAUAUAUGGAGGAACACCGGUGGCGAAAGCGGCUCUCUGGUCUGUAACUGACGCUGAGGCUCGAAAGCGUGGGGAGCAAACAGG